UCUUUCUUUGCUGGCGACCGGCGCACGGGUGAGUAACACGUAUCCAACCUGCCCUUUACUCGGGGAUAGCCUUUCGAAAGAAAGAUUAAUACCCGAUAGUAUAAUGAUUCCGCAUGGUUUCAUAUUAAAGGAUUCCGGUAAAGGAUGGGGAUGCGUUCCAUUAGGUUGUUGGUGAGGUAACGGCUCACCAAGCCUUCGAUGGAUAGGGGUUCUGAGAGGAAGGUCCCCCACAUUGGAACUGAGACACGGUCCAA
rnacentral:rRNA from 1 species